ACGAUUGCAUCACGCUGAAAACACCGGUUCUCCUUCGAUCAUCGCAGUUAAGCAGCAUCAAGUUCGAUCAAUACUUAGAUGGGGGACCACUUGGGAACAUCU